CUCAGGUGAUGGAAGUUUCUUAUAAUACGCAGUAGCAGAGGUACUUUGAUCAGCUUCGUCUGCUAUGUCCAUGGAGGUGUUCUACUCUUUUUGCUUGGUUUAACUCCUUUUCUCUUUUCUAUUAAUAUAUUUAGUUCAUAGCUUACUCUAUCUGUAUUCAUACCCUCCAUGCUUUUUAGCUGAGUAGUUUGUUCGUUACGCAUCACCACAUAUACCUAUCUAAGGAUAUAUGUACAAACAGUAUAUAUCUGUGCAUACGCCUAGAUUUUCCUCUGUCUAUCUUUGUUUCUCCCUUCGUCAACGCUUAUAAAAAAUAUGAGCUACUCCAAACUAAGCGUAAAGGAUGAUCCUGAUAAACUUCGUGAGAAAAGGGACGAGCGCAAUCGUAAAAAGAGAGAAAAUUUGCUGCUCUAUCUGUCGAAGAGAGAGAAGCUCAGCGGAAAAAGAGCAGAGAAGCUUAUCACAGGAAAAAAUUGGAAAAAAUAGUUUCCAAGUCCUUCCCACAACAAUUUGAAGAGGCUUGUAAAUCACCAGCUUCUACAUCUGUUAUACAUAGCCUUCCUGGUCAACAAUGUUCUCAUGGUUUCAAUGAUAAACUCAGCCAGCCCAUUGCUUCUCAAAUUUCCAAACACAACCACAAUGUUCAUGGAAUUAUUGGUUGUAAUCAAGCUCAUUCAUGGAACGAAGUCUCAUGCUCUCAUUUUACAAAACACUUUAUAGGUGCCUCAAAAGCUGGUAUUCGAAUUUCUCCCUCUUCAAACAACAAUACUCAAUUAUCUUGUGCUAAGUUGGGUAAAAAAUUAAAGCAACCGAUUUCUUCAUUCUCAAGCUAUGAGAAAGGAUCUUCUUCUAACUCUGUUACACAACACACAUGUGUAGCUAUUGACAUGAUACAAAAUGCAGAUAAAUCAUUCAUAUGCAUGAACUGCUACAAAUUCCUGACAGAAAUAGCUGAAGAAACU